UACGUAGGGUGCGAGCGCUAAUCGGAAUUACUGGGCGUAAAGCGUGCGCAGGCGGUCCGCUAAGACCGAUGUGAAAUCCCCGGGCUUAACCUGGGAACUGCAUUGGUGACUGGCGGGCUGGAGUAUGGCAGAGGGGGGUAGAAUUCCACGUGUAGCAGUGAAAUGCGUAGAGAUGUGGAGGAAUACCGAUGGCGAAGGCAGCCCCCUGGGCCAAUACUGACGCUCAUGCACGAAAGCGUGGGGAGCAAACAGG
rnacentral:rRNA from 1 species